GCGGCCGUAGCUCAAUGGCAGAGCGCUGAUUUGUGGCAUCAGAAACGGUGGCUCGAUACCACCCGGCCGUACCA
rnacentral:tRNA from 1 species